CAGAAUGCUGCAGACACUCUGGGCCCCUUUGUCUGCGUGGAACGGAUCUCUAGUCACAGUUAAAAGAAAACAGCAACAACAAGAAGAGAACAACAAUCACAAGGAACCAUGUCAUCCGUGGCAUCUUUAGGAGGAUGUGCAGCACUCUGAACAUGGUUCCAAGGACUUUAGUAGAUGUCUAUUGCGUUGUCAGCCUGACAGGAUCCAAACCUGAGGUCUCUGUCAUCAUUGCUCCAUGACACAUACACCCUUGGCAAGCAAUUAGAUGUCUAUGUUCCUUGAGGUUGAAGGAGAAAUGGACAAGAUCCAAGGCCAUAUUUUGGGGGAAGGAAAAGACUGAACCUCACUCAGCCUCACCCAGGUUAGUUCUCUUGGCUACUUCAAAAAACAAGGAGUGUGAGAGGAAUCCUGGGAACAUAGGAGUUAUGAGAACCUCUUCUCAGAAUGAAGAUUCCGGUUUGUUGCUUCUUUCUUGCCGGUCGAGUGGGAUGCAAUAAGUGGCACCGAGGAACCCGGGAACUUUAUACCAUCACACCAGUGCAAGGAAGAUCCCUUGUUCGCGGGGCGGAAUCAGAACUGCGGGAUGAAAGGCUCUGUAAGAGUGAAGACAACCCAUUUUGGCUGCCGGAUUGACUCACCCGCAGGAUAUUCAUCAAGGAUGGUGCAAAAAUGCUGACCUCCUGAGGACUGUUCCUGAUCCUGACAAUGCUGAACUUGUCUCAGGUUCCUAGUAUAAUGGGUGAAUAGAUAUGUGCUAUUCUCUUGACUUUCCCUAAACCAAUGUCAGUUCGCCAUGAUACUAUAGUUUUCCAAAUUUUCCAAAUUUCCAAAAUUCUUUACUA
rnacentral:lncRNA from 1 species